rnacentral:rRNA from 1 species
UGCCAGCAGCCGCGGUAAUACAGAGGGUGCAAGCGUUAAUCGGAAUUACUGGGCGUAAAGCGCGCGUAGGCGGUUAGAUAAGUCAGAUGUGAAAUCCCCGGGCUCAACCUGGGAACUGCAUCUGAAACUGUUUGACUAGAGUUUAGGAGAGGGAAGUAGAAUUUCAGGUGUAGCGGUGAAAUGCAUAGAGAUCUGAAGGAAUACCAGUGGCGAAGGCGACUUCCUGGCCUAGAACUGACGCUGAGGUGCGAAAGCGUGGGUAGCAAACGGGAUUAGAUA